AACAACUCUAAGCAUGGCUCACACAGGAAGCAAGCCACACAGACUUGACUUGCACAGGAAGCAAGUCAAGCACAACCUACCUUGCACAAGGGCAAGUCCAAACUACACCUAAAGAGGCAAAGCAAACAGGCAAUCACAGGAAGCACACUCUAUAUGCAUACAAGAGGCUCACACAAGGGUUAGGCACUAGGGCCAACUGGAAUAGGGUAAGUGUGCUCUUAACCUUGCCAUUGAGAGGCUAAGGUGAAGCAGAUGAAAGGAUGAAGUGAGG
rnacentral:lncRNA from 1 species